rnacentral:rRNA from 1 species
GAUGAACGCUAGCGGCAGGCUUAACACAUGCAAGUCGAGGGGCAGCACGGGUAGCAAUACCUGGUGGCGACCGGCGCAAGGGUGCGUAACGCGUGAGCAACAUGCCCUAUACAGGGGGAUAAUCCAGGGAAACUUGGUCUAAUAUCCCAUAGCAUUUAGAGGAGGCAUCUUCACUAAAUUAAAGCUUCGGUGGUAUAGGAUUGGCUCGCGUGACAUUAGCUAGAUGGUGAGGUAACGGCCCACCAUGGCUAUGAUGUCUAGGGGUUCUGAGAGGAAGACCCCCCACACUGGGACUGAGACACGGCCCAGACUCCUACGGGAGGCAGCAGUGAGGAAUAUUGGACAAUGGAUGGAAAUCUGAUCCAGCCAUGCCGCGUGCAGGAAGACGGCCCUAUGGGUUGUAAACUGCUUUUAUAUGGGAGCAAUAAGGUUUACGGUAGACCGAUGAGAGUACCAUAUGAAUAAGCAUCGGCUAA